GGAGAUAGCUGGUUCUCCCCGAAAACUAUUUAGGUAGUGCCUUAUGUAUCACUUACGGGGGUAGAGCACUGUUAUGGCUAGGGGGUCACACCGACCUACCGUCCCAUGGCAAACUCCGAAUACCGUAAAGUGCAAUCAUAGGAGACAGACUAUGGGUGCUAACGUCCAUAGUCAAGAGGGCAACAACCCAGACCGCCAGCUAAGGCCCCAAAUUCC
rnacentral:rRNA from 1 species